rnacentral:rRNA from 1 species
UACGUAGGGGGCAAGCGUUGUCCGGAUUUAUUGGGCGUAAAGAGCGUGUAGGCGGCCAUACAGGUCCGUUGUGAAAACUCGAGGCUCAACCUCGAGACGUCGAUGGAAACCGUAUGGCUAGAGUCCGGAAGAGGAGAGUGGAAUUCCUGGUGUAGCGGUGAAAUGGCGCAGAUAUCAGGAAGAACACCCGUGGCGAAGGCGGCUCUCUGGGACGGUACUGACGCUGAGACGCGAAAGCGUGGGGAGCGAACAGG